rnacentral:tRNA from 2 species
GCAACCGUAGCUCAGCUGGAUAGAGCAUCCGCCUUCUAAGCGGACGGUCCCAGGUUCGAAUCCUGGCGGUUGCGCCA